rnacentral:rRNA from 1 species
UACGGGGGGAGCAAGCGUUGUUCGGAUUUACUGGGCGUAAAGGGCGCGUAGGCGGCCAGCACAAGUCAGUUGUGAAAUCUCCGAGCUUAACUCGGAACGGUCAACUGAUACUGUGCGGCUAGAGUGCGGAAGGGGCAACUGGAAUUCUUGGUGCAGCGGUGAAAUGCGUAGAUAUCAAGAGGAACACCUGCGGCGAAGGCGGGUUGCUGGGCCGACACUGACGCUGAGGCGCGAAAGCCAGGGGAGCGAACGGG